AAAGCUUUAAGUUAAUUUAAACUAUUAACCUUCAAAGUUAAAAAUAUAUUAUUUAUAAGCUUUA
rnacentral:tRNA from 1 species